AAUAAAUCAAAUAAAAAGAGUCCCAUCCCAAAAUAAAAAUUUUCAUGCAUCCCAAUUUUUUCUGGAGCUUUACACCCAGCCUUUUUUAACAAGCCACAACAAGCCCAAAAUGCUGCCCUACAAACCAAGCAAUUAUUCCAUUGUAUUCUUCACAUAUUCUUGGACGAUGACUGGAAUUGUGGAUUUAGCAGCGUAAAAGGGUGCAAAAACUGGCUCAAUGCAAUGUUCGGCCAGUCGGACAAAAACCAAAUUGACCAAAGUUAAUUUAACCAAUGUAAACAGAACGAGCACGGCGAAGCUUGUGUGUGGGGAGGAAUGUUGAGAAACUUGGGAUGAAAGUGCGAGCAAAUGCCGUAGUGAAAAUCAAUUGGUGCGCCAACAAACGCUUCAAUCAAUUUUACUUUGGCAAACAGUGAGUGCAAAAUAAAUCACAUCAGUCGAGUCCAA